GACGAACGCUGGCGGCGUGCCUAAUACAUGCAAGUUGAGCGCUGAAGGUUGGUACUUGUACCAACUGGAUGAGCAGCGAACGGGUGAGUAACGCGUGGGGAAUCUGCCUUUGAGCGGGGGACAACAUUUGGAAACGAAUGCUAAUACCGCAUAAAAACUUUAAACACAAGUUUUAAGUUUGAAAGAUGCAAUUGCAUCACUCAAAGAUGAUCCCGCGUUGUAUUAGCUAGUUGGUGAGGUAAAGGCUCACCAAGGCGAUGAUACAUAGCCGACCUGAGAGGGUGAUCGGCCACAGUGGGACUGAGACACGGCCCAAACUCCUACGGGAGGCAGCAGUAGGGAAUCUUCGGCAACGGACGAAAGUCUGACCGAGCAACGCCGCGUGAGUGAAGAAGGGUUUCGGAUCGUAAAACUCUGUUGGUAGAGAAGAACGUUGGUGAGAGUGGAAAGCUCAUCAAGUGACGGUAACUACCCAGAAAGGGACGGCUAACUACGUG
rnacentral:rRNA from 1 species